AAAGAAAGCUGAGCCCGAAAGAAUCCCGGUGGCAGCUUCUUAAAUUGCAUGGCUUGGGAAUCCGAUUCAAACACCACUGGUAAAACUAACCGAAACGAUUUACUAUUUUCGUGUAAUUGAUUUUGUUAAUUUUGUAUAUAAUUAUGUGUUUGUUUAUGGGGGGAAAAAACGAAUUUAAAAAGAUCUUGCAGAUUAUUUGGAAUAAAAAGUAAUUGAGAAUUUAUGUGAUUUUUAAGGGAGGCUUUUUUUGUCGUCCGUUCCGUUCGCACGAAUGCCAUAAUUUAUCAAGAAACACGUAUUCGUCGAAUUUGGGCUUUUCGAUUGCGGCGUGCUUAGAAAAAUAUGCAUAUCUGACCCGUGUCCAAAUUAUUUUUAAUAAUAAAAUUAAAUUGUAUUUUGCAUAUAUAUAAAAUGCAUUGAAAAAUUAAUUUUGCUACCUACAGUUAAGCUUUGAAAAUUGAGUAUCUAUUAUUAUAUUAAAUAAAAACAGUCGAAACUUAAAAUGAGCAAUUAAAAAUUUAUCUUUAUUUAAUUAUUAAUUAUAGUAUCUUAUUUCAUAAUUUUAUUUAAACUAUUUAACUAACUGUCAACAUAAUUAUUUUAAUUAUUAUCAUAAAUUUUUAUAUUGGAUUUAUAUUUCACUCAUUGAAGAAUUACAAACAGAAACCAUUUUAAAAUUUCCAUUAGUUUAUAAAAAGAAAAAUUGUAUAUAAAUAAGUAAAUUUAAAUUUAUGGUUGUAUCAUAAAUUUGUUUUAAUAAAUGGAUUUUGUUUUGAUAAUUUGUGUCAGUUCUAAAUAAACAAUUCACUUUUCAUUUAAAUAAUUCAUGUUAUAGCAUAAUAAAUUGGAUAAAAUUGUCACGAUGACAUGAAAAUAAACAAAAGAACAGUUUUAUCACUAAUAUAAUUACUAUAAAUUUCUAAAUAUUUUACAAAUUUUGAAUUUAUUAUACCAACAUUGAAAUUACAAUGAUCUUUCAUUCUUGAAAUUAAGAUUAACAAAUUCAUCUUCCUGUUACUUUAAUCUUAAUAAACAUAAUCUUGCGAGAGUGAACAGAAAUAGAUAUUGGAAACGUUUGUUGUUUUUUUUAAAUUUGCCAUCUUUUUGUAAGACAUUAAUUGGACUAAUAAAUAAAGCUACAAUACUAUAGGCAAUAAUGCUUAUACCCAUAUGCAGACUUCUUAAAUUUCAAGCCAAUUUGUUUGAGGAUAUAUAAGAUUUAAAUGAAGAAUUUUGUCUUUAAGUAAAUUAAUUAAAAAUAUAUAUAUAAAACUAAUUUAUAAUAACAGCAAUUACUGUAUCGGUACAUAUGUAAUUUGCAAUGGUGUAUGCCCCUUCAGAAAAUUGUUAAAACAAAUAAAACUUUCAUACAAUUUACUCCUCCAUAUAUAUCGCACCUCUGGAGCAGCCAUUUAAAGCAUGGCAUUUAUUGCAUUUUAAGUAGUUUAUGAGAUGUUAUCUCGAUUAUUAAAACAUUAAAACUACUACUUUACCAUAAGCUACUACUAUGACAGUCUGUCGUAGUAGUAGCUUAUCAUUUGAAGAUAAAAAUUGAAAAGAUGCAUAUCAAACAAUAAAUUCUUUGUUAUAUUGUUUAAUUUCUGUUUUAUUAAUAUAAUAAUAGUUUAUUUUAGCAACUAUUAAGAAAAAGUAAAUAGAAAAUAAUCUAAACAUCCAUAAUAUUCAAUGACACUAAGCAAAGAGGUUUUAAUAUAUUAAUUUUUUACCAUCCAAACGUCCUCGUUUGCUAAUCGACGAGUUAUGUCCGGACGGCAAAUAAAAUUUGACGUAAAGUAUUUUCCACGAAUUAUCAUUUGAUGAACUGGAGAAAUUUUGUUUAGACCCUAUACCUACGUGGCUAGACUUGAAGUAUGCAGUCGUAUUAUGGCAAUUUUUCAUAGAGGAAGUAGUUCAAGAAGGAUUAACCAAUCCUACUCCAGCUUGUUGUAAUCCAAAAAAAAAGAGAGUUUUAUUGAAGAGGCCAGAAUUUUUGCUAUAAUUCGUAAGAAAAUAAUUAAAAGCAAAGAGACUUAAACUGCUUCAAAAAUGAAUUAUGUUGUGGGAGAAUAAGGCAUUUAAAUGAUGAAAGUAUUUUAUCUUCUCAAGAAUAUUAUUAUUUACAGUAUAUUACAGGCCAGAAGGAAAGAUGACAGCAUGCAAAAGAAUGGAUGUGUGGUCAAACGGUAUCAUUUUAAAUCUGUGACUAUCAAACCUAAGCCAAAAGGUACUUGGUAUUAGUGUAGUAACUAUCAAAAAUCUUAAAUUAUAAUUUACAUAUAUUUAUUAUAAAAACAAGUUAAAUAAAUUUAAUGUUUAAAAAAUUAGUCUAUACACAGAUAAGGAACAGGUGUACAGGCUCUCUGU
rnacentral:lncRNA from 1 species